AGAGUCCUGAUGUGUUAGUGGUAAACCAUGUUUUGACCUAACAUAUGACCUUCGGGAGUUUGCGUUUCCAAGUGGAGUAAAUGCCUAGUACAUAGGACUUACAAAGGCCUGGAACAGAACACCCACCUACUAAGUGUAGGUUCAAAACGAAGGAAAGAAUACGACGGCACAAUUGGGACUCUU
rnacentral:other from 1 species